AUACGGAGGAUCCGAGCGUUAUCCGGAUUUAUUGGGUUUAAAGGGUGCGCAGGCGGCCAUUUAAGUCAGCGGUUAAAUCGUGGGGCUCAACCCCAUUCUGCCGUUGAUACUGGGUGGCUUGAUUGCGGUCGAGGUUGGCGGAAUUCGUUGUAUAGCGGUGAAAUGCAUAGAUAUGACGAAGAACACCGAUUGCGUAGGCAGCUGACCAGACCGCAAAUGACGCUCAUGCACGAAAGUGCGGGGAUCGAACAGGAUUAGAUACCCUGGUAGUCCGCACAGUAAACGAUGAAUACUUGUUUUCGGCGAUAUAAUGUCGGAGGCAAAGCGAAAGCGAUAAGUAUUCCACCUGGGGAGUACGCCGGCAACGGUGAAACUCAAAUGAAUUGGCGGGG
rnacentral:rRNA from 1 species